rnacentral:rRNA from 1 species
UUACAAUGAAGAGUUUGAUCCUGGCUCAGGAUGAACGCUAGCUACAGGCUUAACACAUGCAAGUCGAGGGGCAUCAGGAAGAAAGCUUGCUUUCUUUGCUGGCGACCGGCGCACGGGUGAGUAACACGUAUCCAACCUGCCCUUUACUCGGGGAUAGCCUUUCGAAAGAAAGAUUAAUACCCGAUAGCAUAAUGAUUCCGCAUGGUUUCAUUAUUAAAGGAUUCCGGUAAAGGAUGGGGAUGCGUUCCAUUAGGUNGUUGGUGAGGUAACGGCUCACCAAGCCUUCGAUGGAUAGGGGUUCUGAGAGGAAGGUCCCCCACAUUGGAACUGAGACACGGUCCAAACUCCUACGGGAGGCAGCAGUGAGGAAUAUUGGUCAAUGGGCGCUAGCCUGAACCAGCCAAGUAGCGUGAAGGAUGAAGGCUCUAUGGGUCGUAAACUUCUUUUAUAUAAGAAUAAAGUGCAGUAUGUAUACUGUUUUGUAUGUAUUAUAUGAAUAAGGAUCGGCUAACUCCGUGCCAGCAGCCGCGGUAAUACGGAGGAUCCGAGCGUUAUCCGGAUUUAUUGGGUUUAAAGGGAGCGUAGGUGGACUGGUAAGUCAGUUGUGAAAGUUUGCGGCUCAACCGUAAAAUUGCAGCUGAUACUGUCAGUCUUGAGUACAGUAGAGGUGGGCGGAAUUCGUGGUGUAGCGGUGAAAUGCUUAGAUAUCACGAAGAACUCCGAUUGCGAAGGCAGCUCACUGGACUGCAACUGACACUGAUGCUCGAAAGUGUGGGUAUCAAACAGGAUUAGAUACCCUGGUAGUCCACACAGUAAACGAUGAAUACUCGCUGUUUGCGAUAUACAGUAAGCGGCCAAGCGAAAGCAUUAAGUAUUCCACCUGGGGAGUACGCCGGCAACGGUGAAACUCAAAGGAAUUGACGGGGGCCCGCACAAGCGGAGGAACAUGUGGUUUAAUUCGAUGAUACGCGAGGAACCUUACCCGGGCUUAAAUUGCAGUGGAAUGAUGUGGAAACAUGUCAGUGAGCAAUCACCGCUGUGAAGGUGCUGCAUGGUUGUCGUCAGCUCGUGCCGUGAGGUGUCGGCUUAAGUGCCAUAACGAGCGCAACCCUUAUCUUUAGUUACUAACAGGUUAUGCUGAGGACUCUAGAGAGACUGCCGUCGUAAGAUGUGAGGAAGGUGGGGAUGACGUCAAAUCAGCACGGCCCUUACGUCCGGGGCUACACACGUGUUACAAUGGGGGGUACAGAAGGCAGCUAGCGGGUGACCGUAUGCUAAUCCCAAAAUCCUCUCUCAGUUCGGAUCGAAGUCUGCAACCCGACUUCGUGAAGCUGGAUUCGCUAGUAAUCGCGCAUCAGCCACGGCGCGGUGAAUACGUUCCCGGGCCUUGUACACACCGCCCGUCAAGCCAUGGGAGCCGGGGGUACCUGAAGUACGUAACCGCAAGGAUCGUCCUAGGGUAAAACUGGUGACUGGGGCUAAGUCGUAACAAGGUAGCCGUACCGGAAGGUGCGGCUGGAACACCUCCUUUCU